CCUUCGGGGUUAGUGGCGGACGGGUGAGUAACGCGUGAGGAUCUGCCCUUAGGAGGGGAACAACAGUUGGAAACGACUGCUAAUGCCCCAUAUGCCGAGAGGUGAAAGAGUUAAUUCUGCCUAGGGAUGAACUCGCGUCUGAUUAGCUAGUUGGUUGGGUAAUGGCCGACCAAGGCGACGAUCAGUAGCUGGUCUAAGAGGAUGAUCAGCCACACUGGGACUGAGACACGGCCCAGACUCCUACGGGAGGCAGCAGUGGGGAAUUUUCCGCAAUGGGCGAAAGCCUGACGGAGCAAUACCGCGUGAGGGAGGUAGGCCUUAGGGUUGUAAACCUCUUUUCUCUGGGAAGAAGAUCUGACGGUACCAGAGGAAUAAGCCUCGGCUAACUCCGUGCCAGCAGCCGCGGUAAGACGGAGGAGGCAAGCGUUAUCCGGAAUUAUUGGGCGUAAAGCGUCCGUAGGCGGUUAAUUAAGUCUGUUGUUAAAGCCCACAGCUCAACUGUGGAUCGGCAAUGGAAACUGGUUGACUAGAGUGUGGUAGGGGUAGAGGGAAUUCCCGGUGUAGCGGUGAAAUGCGUAGAUAUCGGGAAGAACACCAGUGGCGAAGGCGCUCUACUGGGCCACAACUGACGCUGAUGGACGAAAGCUAGGGGAGCGAAAGGGAUUAGAUACCCCUGUAGUCCUAGCUGUAAACGAUGGAUACUAGGUGUUGGACGUAUCGACCCGUGCAGUACCGUAGCUAACGCGUUAAGUAUCCCGCCUGGGGAGUACGCACGCAAGUGUGAAACUCAAAGGAAUUGACGGGGGCCCGCACAAGCGGUGGAGGAUGUGGUUUAAUUCGAUGCAACGCGAAGAACCUUACCAAGGCUUGACAUCCUGCGAAUCUUUCAGAGAUGAGAGAGUGCCUUCGGGAGCGCAGAGACAGGUGGUGCAUGGCUGUCGUCAGCUCGUGUCGUGAGGUGUUGGGUUAAGUCCCGCAACGAGCGCAACCCUCGUCCUUAGUUGCCAUCAUUAAGUUGGGCACUCUGGGGAGACUGCCGGGGACAACUCGGAGGAAGGUGGGGACGACGUCAAGUCAUCAUGCCCCUUACGUCUUGGGCUACACACGUCCUACAAUGCUACAGACAGAGGGCAGCAAGCGCGCGAGUGCAAGCAAAUCCCAUAGACUGUGGCUCAGUUCAGAUUGCAGGCUGCAACUCGCCUGCAUGAAGGCGGAAUCGCUAGUAAUCGCAGGUCAGCAUACUGCGGUGAAUACGUUCCCGGGCCUUGUACACACCGCCCGUCACACCAUGGGAGUUGGCCACGCCCGAAGUCGUUACUCUAACCGUUCGCGGAGGAGGGCGCCGAAGGCAGGGCUGAUGACUGGGGUGAAGUCGUAACAAGGUA
rnacentral:rRNA from 1 species